CAAAGAAUAGUUAAAUUUAUAAUGCUAGCUUUGGGAGCUAGUGUUGGGAGUUAAAAUCUCCCUUCUUUGAGCACUG
rnacentral:tRNA from 1 species